rnacentral:rRNA from 1 species
CCUACGGGCGGCAGCAGUGAGGAAUAUUGGUCAAUGGACGGAAGUCUGAACCAGCCAUGCCGCGUGAAGGAAGACGGCUCUCUGAGUUGUAAACUGCUUUUGUACAGGGGUAAACUUGAAUACGUGUCUUCCGCUGACAGUACUUUAUGAAUAAGGAUCGGCUAACUCCGUGCCAGCAGCCGCGGUAAUACGGAGGAUCCGAGCGUUAUCCGGAUUUAUUGGGUUUAAAGGGAGCGUAGAGGGGUUGUUAAGUCAGUUGUGAAAGUUUGCGGCUCAACCGUAAAAUUGCAGUUGAUACUGGGAGUCUUGAGUACAGUUGAGGUAGGCGGAAUUCGUGGUGUAGCGGUGAAAUGCUUAGAUAUCACGAAGAACUCCGAUUGCGAAGGCAGCUUACUAAACUGCCACUGACACUGAUGCUCGAAAGUGUGGGUAUCAAACAGGAUUAGAUACCCGGGUAGUC